rnacentral:ncRNA from 2 species
AAGAGGACGGGGGAUGGCGUCCCCCUGGGCUCAUAGCCCAAACCGCCGGAAUCAUGAGGGCUGAUGACGCCUAUCUCAUG